rnacentral:tRNA from 1 species
GCCUCGGUAGCUCAGUUGGUAGAGCGGUACCCUGAAAAGGUAUGCGUCGCAGGUUCAAGUCCUGCCCUUGGCACCA